rnacentral:misc_RNA from 1 species
AACGACUCUCCCAGCCCCAUCUGGAGCAGGCUGCUGAUCAGCCGGCUAAACACGCCUCGCUGUUUCUGUGUAAAUUCUCGAGCUUCGGUCAGUUCCUUGGUCUCACCCGCCGAUGCCGGUAUAUCUUCCUUGAAGUCGCUUUGCAUACUGGUCCUUGUAUCUUUGCCAAAAGCCGCGAUAAGUGUAGGCGUUGAACAUUAAGCCUGCAUUAAGGAAGCAGCCGGCGGCCGUGAAAGUUGAAUCCCUCCCACAAUGACCAGACAAAUCAAUCCACAUGUCAUAGCUGUUAUCGAAAGACUCCAUUUCUGUGUCAUCCA